rnacentral:lncRNA from 1 species
AAAUUCUGGUAAAAAAACACAGUGAAAAUUUGCUAUCUUAACCAUGUUGAAAUGUGCAGUUAGUAAAGGACAUUCACAUUGUGGUGCAAGCCAUCACUACCAUCCAUCACUAGAACCCUUUUCAUCUUGCAGAUCUGAAACUCUACCCAUUAAACAACUUCCCAUCUUCCCAUCCCCACAGCUCCUAGCAACCAACAUUCUACUUUCUCUAUCAGUUUGACUACUCUAGGUACCUCAUAUGAGUAGAAUCAUACAGCAUUUAUCCUUCUCUGCCUGGCUUAUUUCACUUGUGCUCCUUCCAACUUUGGGCUGUUGGGUGUCCUGCCACUGUUGCUCCUAGUGCUCAAUCUCGAUUACUCCCUCCUAAUCGAGUGUACAACGUUGGACACUGUGCAGGAUGAUGCCACUUCAUCUUGGAUGCUAAUCUGCCAUGUUGACUUCUGAUUAACCCCAGGCCCAGGAAUGCCUCAAGAUUUCUACUUUACUUACUGUUGCUUGUGUAAGCCAAGACAACCUUGAUGUUAUCAUAAACGUGUACUUACCUAAGUCCUGUCCUUUGGCAAAUUAUGGGCUAUGAGACACAGCAUUCUUGCCUUUCCCUGAGGGGUCAGUUUCAGCGAUCCUACACAUUCCUUCUGAAGCACGUAUGCUCUUUCUAUAUGGUAUGUAAGCUCUGGGUCUGGGGAGUAACAGUGCAGAGAUCUACCUGUCUUGUUGCCACAUGUUUCUAAACUUUCCAAUAAAUCACCUUCUACUGACAAAAAAAAAAAAAAAAAAAGAAAGAAAAUCUGACAGGGCCCAGUGAGGUCAGCUCAUCUCCAUGAUGCCUGGAGCCUCAUCCA